rnacentral:rRNA from 1 species
AUGCCCUACAUACCAGCUGACGUCACAAACCUAAAGGCAAAGUACCGUAGAGAGAGCAAGUUGGCCGACAUAGAGGCCACAAUGGCCUACUUCGAUGAGAAAGCGAAGGAAGAUCCAGAUUUCUUCUACAGGAUAAGAUUGGAUGAUGAGGACCGUGUCAGGAACAUGUAUUGGGUGGAUGGUGCUGCAAGAAGAGCCUACAAACAUUUCCGAGAUUGCAUUUCAUUCGACGCAACAUAUCUCACUAAUAUGUACAAGAUGCCAUGCGCUCCAUUCAUAGGAAUAAAUAACCACAAUCAGUCGUUGCAGUUCGGAUGCGGGCUCAUUCGGAACGAAGACACGGAUGGGUACGUUUGGCUGUUCAAGACCUUCUUGGAGUGCAUGGGUGGACUUGCUCCGAUGAACAUAAUAACAAACCAGGAUUUUAGCAUGCGUGCAGGCAUAGAGGAGGUCUUUCCGUUGGCAGUGCACAGGCACUGCAGGUGGCACAUUAUAAAGAAGGCUGAGGAGACACUAGGACCGUUCUUUGCUGACCGUCCAGACCUGCACAAGGCAUUCGAGCUGUGCGUGGACCACAGCUUGACGGUGGAGGAGUUUGAAAGGAGCUGAAUGGCUAUGAUUGAAACAUAUCAAGUCCAAGACCACGAGACGCUUGCUAGCUUGUGGGAGAAGCGAAUGUACUGGGUGCCGGCCUACUUCAUGCAGUGCUUCUUCCCGUUUCUGCAGACUACACAACGCAAUGAGGGGUUCAAUGCUGUUUUGAAGCAGUACGUGAGCCCUGGCAACUCAUUACUACAGUUUGCCAAGCAGUACGCCGCUUUGCAACAAAAAAAUACUGGGAUCCGAGCUACAGCAAGAAGCAAACACCGCGCUCAAGCAGCCAAAAUUGCUAACUUAUUUACCAAUGGAGAGGCAGAUGAGCAAGAUAUACACCAACACGAUUUUUAA